rfam:Planctomycetes bacterium RBG_16_64_12 RBG_16_scaffold_5434, whole genome shotgun sequence.
CCCAGGGCGUUGCCCUGGGCUGUCAUAUUUCGCCCCUUCGGGGCU